GCUUUGCUUUCAUUGUACUUAAUUUUUUAUGUUAUAGUUAUGUCAAGUGAUAUCAGUUUUCCGUUUAUAUUCAGUUCAGUUCAGUUCAGUUCAGUCACUCAGUCAUGUCCGACUCUUUGUGACCCCAUGGAUUGCAGGACAUCAGGCUUCCCUGUCCAUCACCAACUUCCGAGCUUGCUCAAAUUCACUUCCAUCAAGCUGAUGAUGCCAUCCAGCCGUGCCAUCCUCUGUCAUCCCCUUCUCUUCCUGCCUUCAAUCUUUCCCAGUAUCAGGGUCUUUUCCAAUGAGUCAGUUCUUUGCAUCAGGUAGCCAAAGUAUUGCCAUUUAUGUUGGUGAUAUGCAAUUUCCUUUGAAGAUAGAAUUGAGUUUAAAAAGGGAGGCCAUAUCAAGGAAAAUCUGUGGUAAAGAAUAGCAUAGGAAGUAUGGGAUGUAACCAAAAUGGGGACAGUGGCAUAAGAAAGACAGAGGCGGGAAACAUUACGUCCUCUCACGUGGCCUGACCUGCAAUCAGGUGAGAGUUAGCUUCAUCCACUCCUGCAAGGUCAUGUCAAAGAGAUGCGUCUCAAGAUGCUGGAAGGGAGGUGGGCAGCACCGUGUGACGGGAACCACUCAAAUCAUUUGUUCAACAUCCCCUCAAGAGUUUGUGAGUCAGCAGACGGCGGGAAGCACCAGGGCAGAGGAGCAGCUGAGCUGUGUUGCGCCGCCAAGCGCUGUGCUGUCCCCCUCCUGCUCCCAGGCCCUCCUGCUGCCAUCAGCACCCACCUCCCCUCGGAGUUAUCCUUCUGCUUCGGGACUGUUCUCACAGCAUUUAGUGUCAGCUGCCUGCCCUGCUGUGUAAGAAAGAACACAAGAUUAUCAGAUAUUCUGAAGGGAUGAUGCAAUGUGUCAACAAAGACUCCAUCUGCCGUUAUAUAAGCAUCUCUAUGCUCAAUAAAAGAGAAUGAUCCUAAGCUCUAGUUAUAAAG
ensembl:lncRNA